CUGACAUGUGGGGUAACUGAGGUCUAAAGUGGAGUUGGAGGGUGACUCUAUCCAGACCCAGUUUUCCUGCAUCCCAGCCUUCAGCCUUGGCAGCCUCCUGGGAUGGAAGAAAAAUGGAUAAACACCUUUUGUUGCACACCUACUAUGCGCCAGGCCCUUCCAUGUACCCUGUGCCAUUGCCUCUCCCCAGGGUCUCUGCUUGGUAGGUUGGGUUUAAUCUCACUUUACAGAUGAGACAAGCAAGGCCUGGAGAGGUCAGUCACCUUCCCGAAGGGCAGAGCUGGUGAGUGGCAGAACAAGACUCAACCCAGGCCUGUCUGACUCCAGACCCUUCAUCCUAACCUCUACGUGGCAUUGUCUUCUGUGGAAGUGCCACCCUCUGACCUCUGACCUCGGGGCCUCCUGUCUGUGGGGCAAGUGGGGUGAUUCAGAGGCCUUCUGUACAAAAGAGCCUUUCUCCUCUGAAUGCUCAGAGCCUGCACAGAAGGCGCGGGGGUUCCCAAGCCUUCAGUGGCCCAGGGAGUUCUGUUGGCAUCCAACAGAGAGAUGUCCCCUCACAUGCAAGCAACGAGUGCCAGAAACUGACUGACCCUUCCAUUCAUGAAGACAUCACCUGGACACCAUCGUACCACAGAGAAGAUGGCAGGAGUCCACACACGUGUGCAGAGACUCACGCAUGCUGGAAGUGUGCACAGCCCCAUGCCUGUCAUCCCCCUCACCUCCAGCACACACACAGAGUUAACCAGCCCUAUUGGUCCAUAUUCGUUUAUAACACAUGGUGGGAAUUCUUAUUUCCACUUCAUGACUGAGAAACAGCAGACACCAUGGGACCUGCGUGAGAAACAUGGUUAGUCUUGGAGCUAAAACUAGAAACUGGAUCGUCUCAUUCUGACCAAAGGUGGUUUCUUCAUCCCCUGGGAUUGUCAAAAGAAUAAAGCAGCACAUGUCUUGAAAAGUCACGACCAGAGUUCCUCAUCAUCAGUGACACUGACACUUUGGACUGGGUAAUUUGUUGGAGGGAGCUGUUCUGUGCAUUGUAGGGUGGUUGGCAAUAUCCCUGGCCUGCACCUAACAGAAGAGAGAACCGGAACACUGCCCGUGGACCCAUCUGAGUCCAGGCUUACAAAGUUUUGGUACCAGAUUCUAGAGCUCCUUUCUAAGAUUUUUAUCCUAGCUCUCCAUCAUAAGAUUCUAUUGUGAGGUUCCACGCUAGGGUCCCCAACUUCUAGCACUCUAUGCUGGGAUAUUAGGGUCCGUUCUGUGCAAGGAAAAGAAAAACUAUACCAAAAGGAGGAAAAAGUUAUGCUGGAAGCUGAGUCAGGCAAGAAACUGCCUCUCCUUUUGUUCCUUAAGCAGAUAGCUACAGAUAAAAGGUUGAAAUUCUCUCCAGGAGACAGUCAUGCCUCGCUGCCUUCCAGUGACCAGGAUGAAAGAUGCGCCCAUGAAUUAUAUAUUUCAAGUCAUCUCUAAAUUGCCUGGCAAUUACAGAACAGCAAGGUCAGGUGCCGGGAGCAGAACCUCCCCUUCGGCGGAGAAAGACGGAUGGAUGGAAACACAUCGAUUUACAGAAAGAUGUUACCUCUUGGAGGGGCAGCUAUGGCUUGGUGAAAGGUGAGUUCUGGAAUGCGUAAGAGUCCUCCUCCAGCUCUGUUACUUUGUAACUCAAGACCUUGGCAAGGCUUAAGCCCAGGAAUUUGAGGUUGCAGUGAGCUAUGAUCAUGCCAUCGCACUCUAGCCUGGGGAACAGAGUG